UACGAAGGGGGCUAGCGUUGCUCGGAAUCACUGGGCGUAAAGCGCACGUAGGCGGCUUCUUAAGUCAGGGGUGAAAUCCUGGAGCUCAACUCCAGAACUGCCUCUGAUACUGAGGAGCUCGAGUCCGGGAGAGGUGAGUGGAACUCCGAGUGUAGAGGUGAAAUUCGUAGAUAUUCGGAGGAACACCAGUGGCGAAGGCGGCUCACUGGUCCAUUACUGACGCUGAGGUGCGAAAGCGUGGGGAGCAAACAGG
rnacentral:rRNA from 1 species